GACGAACGCUGGCGGCGUGCUUAACACAUGCAAGUCGAACGGAAAGGCCCUGCUUUUGUGGGGUGCUCGAGUGGCGAACGGGUGAGUAACACGUGAGUAACCUGCCCUUGACUUUGGGAUAACUUCAGGAAACUGGGGCUAAUACCGGAUAGGAGCUCCUGCUGCAUGGUGGGGGUUGGAAAGUUUCGGCGGUUGGGGAUGGACUCGCGGCUUAUCAGCUUGUUGGUGGGGUAGUGGCUUACCAAGGCUUUGACGGGUAGCCGGCCUGGGAGGGUGACCGGCCACAUUGGGACUGAGAUACCGCCCAGAACCCUACGGGAGGCAGCAGUGGGGAAUAUUGCACAAUGGGCGGAAGCCUGAUGCAGCAACGCCGCGUGCGGGAUGACGGCCUUCGGGUUGUAAACCGCUUUCGCCUGUGACGAAGCGUGAGUGACGGUAAUGGGUAAAGAAGCACCGGCUAACUACGUG
rnacentral:rRNA from 1 species